UACAACAUAACAUUAAUGCAAUGGAUCCCAUUAGAACUAUGUAGUUAAGCAUGCUCAUGCUAGAGUAGUACUGGGAUGGGUGAACGCCCAUAAAUUCCUAGUGUUUUAC
rnacentral:rRNA from 1 species